AGAUUGAACGCUGGCGGCAUGCCUUACACAUGCAAGUCGAACGGCAGCACGGGGGCAACCCUGGUGGCGAGUGGCGAACGGGUGAGUAACAUAUCGGAACGUGCCCUGGAGUGGGGGAUAACUAGUCGAAAGACUAGCUAAUACCGCAUACGAUCUACGGAUGAAAGGUGGGGGAUCGCAAGACCUCAUGCUCGUGGAGCGGCCGAUAUCUGAUUAGCUAGUUGGUGGGUAAAGGCCUACCAAGGCAUCGAUCAGUAGCUGGUCUGAGAGGACGACCAGCCACACGUGGGACUGAGACACGGCCCAGACUCCUACGGGAGCAGCGAGUGGGAAUUUGGACAAGUGGGCGCAAGCCUAGACUCCGAGC
rnacentral:rRNA from 1 species